rnacentral:rRNA from 1 species
UAACACGUGGGUAACCUGCCCUGAUGAUCGGGACAACCCGAGGAAACUCGGGCUAAUACCGAAUGUGCCCUCCGGCCAUAAGGCCACUGGGGAAAGGAAGCUUCGGCCUCCGCAUUGGGAUGGGCCCGCGGCCCAUUAGCUUGUUGGUGAGGUAACGGCUCACCAAGGCAAUGAUGGGUAGCUGGUCUGAGAGGACGAUCAGCCACACUGGGACUGAGACACGGCCCAG